rnacentral:lncRNA from 1 species
UAUAGCUCUGUGAAUGCAUGUACCCCUCUGAGCUUUGUCCUUGGUAUGUCUGAGUGAUGGCUUCAGGGGGUCCACAGGGCGGAUGAUCAGGGCAGAGGGGAGGCUGGGUGUUGGUAUGAGUGGGUGAUCGUGUGUGACUUGUGUCGGCGUGAGGGUGAAGUGCUGGGGUACCCAUGGUGGGGACUGUGUGUGCAACUGGGCGGGACAGUGUGUGUGCAGCUGAUCUCCCUCUAGAUCUCCCUGUCUCUCUCCUUGAGCCCAAGGCUGCCUCUUCUGCUUGAUAUGGGGGCAGAGGAGGAAAGCAGAGAUUGCAGGGCUUACAGUAAGUACCUAGGUAUCCUGCCCUCCUUUCUCUGAUGAGACAUGUGGGACCAGCCACGAGGGUUCUAUGGGGUCUCACACACAGAGACACACAGCCAGCCCACAAGGAUCCCACGCGGUUACCCAGUGACACUCACAGCUGUACAGGAAAAUAUAGAUGUCAUUCACUUGCUCGGGCACACACACUCACAUCUAUACAAGAAAAUAUAGAUGGCAUGGCUAGAUGCAGUGACUCAAGCCUGUAAUCCCAGCAAUUUGGGAGGCUGAGGCGGGCAGAUCACCUGAGGUCAGGAGUUUGAGAACAGCCUGGCCAGUAUGUGAAACCCUGUCUCUACUAAAAAUAUGAAAAUUAGCUGGGCGUGGUGGCGGGCACCUGUAAUCCCAGCUACAGGGAGGCUGAGGCAGGAGAAUCGCUUGAACCUGUGGGGUGGAGGUUGCAGUGAGCCAAGAUCGUGCCACUGUACUCCAGCCUGGGUGACAAAGCAAAACUCCAUCUCAAAAAAAUAGAUAGAUAGAUAGAUAGAUAGAUAGAUAGAUAGAUAGAUAGAUAG